rnacentral:rRNA from 1 species
UACGUAGGGGGCAAGCGUUAUCCGGAUUUACUGGGUGUAAAGGGAGCGCAGACGGCAGUGCAAGUCUGAAGUGAAAACCACAGGCUCAACCAGUGGAUUGCUUUGGAAACUGCGCAGCUGGAGUGUCGGAGGGGUAAGCGGAAUUCCUGGUGUAGCGGUGAAAUGCGUAGAUAUCAGGAGGAACACCGGUGGCGAAGGCGGCUUACUGGACGAUCACUGACGUUGAGGCUCGAAAGCGUGGGGAG